rnacentral:misc_RNA from 1 species
CAAAAGUUCUGGAGAAAUUAGGGUUCAUAUUCAUGGUUAAAUGUAGUGAAUUGAAGCACUUCCAGCAAAAACUAUUGUGCUUUUACUCUUGUGAGAUCUUGAAAGGCUCUAAUCUUGUGAGGCGUCAUCUACUAAAAUGGUUUCACUUUUCCUGAGGAAAAUAGGAAAAGUCUAGUGUUUUGAGGUACAAUUACGUGGCACAUACAUGCACAAAAAUGUCUGUUUGAUAUAUACUUUGGAUAUCUCUGUUUAGUGACUUCAGGUGCCAUUAUGUGUGUUAACUAAUUUUCCAAGUUUCAUGUUUUUCAGCUUGAAGGGCAAGG